AUGAACGCUGGCGGCGUGCUUUACACAUGCAAGUUGAGCGAGGCCACCCGCAAGGGUGAGUCGAGCGGCGAACGGGUGAGUAACGCGUGGAUAACCUGCCCUGAGGUGGGGAAUAACCCGGGGAAACUCGGGCUAAUACCGCAUGAUACCGAGAGGUCAAAGAGGGGUCGCAAGAUCUCUUGCCACAGGAGGGGUCCGCGUUCGAUUAGCUAGUUGGUAGGGUAAUGGCCUACCAAGGCGACGAUCGAUAGCCGGCCUGAGAGGGUGAUCGGCCACACUGGAACUGAGACACGGUCCAGACUCCUACGGGAGGCAGCAGUGGGGAAUUUUGCGCAAUGGGCUAACGCCUGACGCAGCAACGCCGCGUGGAGGAUGAAGGUCUUUGGAUUGUAAACUCCUGUCAGCAGGGAAAAAGGGAGGCGACCUAAUACGUCGUCAACUUGAUUGUACCUGCAGAGGAAGCCCCGGCUAACUCUGU
rnacentral:rRNA from 1 species